rnacentral:rRNA from 1 species
UACGUAGGGUACGAGCGUUGUCCGGAAUUAUUGGGCGUAAAGAGCUCGUAGGUGGUUGGUCACGUCUGCUGUGGAAACGCAACGCUUAACGUUGCGCGGGCAGUGGGUACGGGCUGACUAGAGUGCAGUAGGGGAGUCUGGAAUUCCUGGUGUAGCGGUGAAAUGCGCAGAUAUCAGGAGGAACACCGGUGGCGAAGGCGGGACUCUGGGCUGUGACUGACACUGAGGAGCGAAAGCAUGGGGAGCAAACAGGAUUAGAUA